UACGUAGGUGGCAAGCGUUGUCCGGAUUUACUGGGCGUAAAGAGCGCGCAGGCGGUCGUUCAAGUCGCGUGUGAAAGCCCCCGGCUCAACUGGGGAGGGUCACGCGAUACUGAUCGACUGGAAGGCAGGAGAGGGUAGUGGAAUUCCCGGUGUAGUGGUGGAAUGCGUAGAUAUCGGGAGAACACCAGUGGCGAAGGCGACUACCUGGCCUGUUCUUGACGCUGAGGCGCGAAAGCUAGGGGAGCAAACGGGGAUUAAGAA
rnacentral:rRNA from 1 species